AUGGUUGUGCCAACAGAGAAGCAUAGCCACACAUCUUCCGAAGAUAUAGAAUCGCCCUCUGUGUUGCUUCGUCAUAGAAUAACACCGUUUCGUAAAGCUUGUUUUCUUGCGUGGUUGCGAUUUCGAAGCUGCAUGAGAAGUGAAAGACAUGAUUUGGAAUUGGAACCAACCCUCAAAAGGUUUUUGUUUGUGAGGUGUAGAAACCGAAACUCAAUUGAACACGUUUGUGUUUGUUACUUAUAUAUACUUGUUUGUUACGCAACUUGUACGCGUUAA